AUUAAUGGCUCCGGAAGAAGAAAACAAAUGAUUAAAAAUCGAAUUCGUACUCCCAUAAUUAUUUCCGGAGGGGAGAUGAUUAAUUAAUUAAAAACUUGGUUUUAAAAACUCUUAAUUAAUAUAACUAACCUUUUUUGUUUAAUUUUUCUUUUUUUGUUACUAUUCUUCUUCACUGUUGUGGAUUUCUUGUGAAUCUUCUUCUUCUUCUUCUUCUUCUAAAGCGAGCUCGCUUCACGAACAAGACGAACAAGGAGGAUCUUCAGAUCAUUUGCUCUUUUCUGGUGACUCGGUGUUUCAAGAUUUUCAGUGUCUUCGAUCCUGAAGAAGAGGAGAUCUAGUUGCGCUUAAGUUCAGUGGGAGGAUUUUGCAUGGUUACUGAAGAAUACACAUUUUUUUGUUUGAAGGAAUGGUGAUAGUAGUGACUUAUCAUCACCUAUAGAGAGGCUCUGUUCUUUU